ACGAGUUAUCUGAACCUUCGGGGAACGAUAACGGCGUCGAGCGGCGGACGGGUGAGUAAUGCCUGGGAAAUUGCCCUGAUGUGGGGGAUAACCAUUGGAAACGAUGGCUAAUACCGCAUGAUGCCUUCGGGCCAAAGAGGGGGACCUUCGGGCCUCUCGCGUCAGGAUAUGCCCAGGUGGGAUUAGCUAGUUGGUGAGGUAAUGGCUCACCAAGGCGACGAUCCCUAGCUGGUCUGAGAGGAUGAUCAGCCACACUGGAACUGAGACACGGUCCAGACUCCUACGGGAGGCAGCAGUGGGGAAUAUUGCACAAUGGGCGCAAGCCUGAUGCAGCCAUGCCGCGUGUAUGAAGAAGGCCUUCGGGUUGUAAAGUACUUUCAGUCGUGAGGAAGGUGGUGUAGUUAAUAGCUGCAUUAUUUGACGUUAGCGACAGAAGAAGCACCGGCUAACUCCGUGCCAGCAGCCGCGGUAAUACGGAGGGUGCGAGCGUUAAUCGGAAUUACUGGGCGUAAAGCGCAUGCAGGUGGUUCAUUAAGUCAGAUGUGAAAGCCCGGGGCUCAACCUCGGAAUUGCAUUUGAAACUGGUGGACUAGAGUACUGUAGAGGGGGGUAGAAUUUCAGGUGUAGCGGUGAAAUGCGUAGAGAUCUGAAGGAAUACCAGUGGCGAAGGCGGCCCCCUGGACAGAUACUGACACUCAGAUGCGAAAGCGUGGGGAGCAAACAGGAUUAGAUACCCUGGUAGUCCACGCCGUAAACGAUGUCUACUUGGAGGUUGUGGCCUUGAGCCGUGGCUUUCGGAGCUAACGCGUUAAGUAGACCGCCUGGGGAGUACGGUCGCAAGAUUAAAACUCAAAUGAAUUGACGGGGGCCCGCACAAGCGGUGGAGCAUGUGGUUUAAUUCGAUGCAACGCGAAGAACCUUACCUACUCUUGACAUCCAGAGAAGCCAGCAGAGAUGCAGGUGUGCCUUCGGGAACUCUGAGACAGGUGCUGCAUGGCUGUCGUCAGCUCGUGUUGUGAAAUGUUGGGUUAAGUCCCGCAACGAGCGCAACCCUUAUCCUUGUUUGCCAGCGAGUAAUGUCGGGAACUCCAGGGAGACUGCCGGUGAUAAACCGGAGGAAGGUGGGGACGACGUCAAGUCAUCAUGGCCCUUACGAGUAGGGCUACACACGUGCUACAAUGGCGCAUACAGAGGGCAGCCAACUUGCGAAAGUGAGCGAAUCCCAAAAAGUGCGUCG
rnacentral:rRNA from 1 species